rnacentral:rRNA from 1 species
GGCGCAGGCGGCUUGUUAAGUCUGGAGUGAAAGCCCAGGGCUCAACCCUGGAAGGCCUUUGGAUACUGGCAAGCUAGAGUACGGGAGAGGAGAGCGGAAUUCCUGGUGUAGCGGUGAAAUGCGUAGAUAUCAGGAGGAACACCCGUGGCGAAAGCGGCUCUCUGGCCCGAUACUGACGUUGAGGCCCGAAAGCGUGGGGAGCGAACA